rnacentral:snoRNA from 1 species
GCAUGGAUGAACAGUGUACUUCAGUGAGUAAUUCAUACAGGCAGACACCAUGCAAAAGUAAUGUCUUCCUUUAAAAUGACUGCAUGCUGUUUUUAUGGAUCGUUACUAAAGUGGGUAAAUUU